GAUGAACGCUGGCGGCGUGCCUAAUACAUGCAAGUCGAGCGAACAGACAAGGAGCUUGCUCCUUUGACGUUAGCGGCGGACGGGUGAGUAACACGUGGAUAACCUACCUAUAAGACUGGGAUAACUUCGGGAAACCGGAGCUAAUACCGGAUAACAUUUGGAACCGCAUGGUUCGAAAGUGAAAGAUGGUUUUGCUGUCACUUAUAGAUGGACACGCGCUGGAUUAGCUAGUUGGUCAGGUAACGGCUUACCAAGGCAACGAUUCGUAGCCGACCUGAGAGGGUGAUAGGCCACCCGGGAGCUGGGCCACCGACCAGGCUCCUACGGUAGGCCGCAGUCGGGAAUCUUCCGCAAUAGGCGAAAGCCUGACGGAGCGGCGGCGCGUCAGUUAUGAAGGCUUUCCGCUCGUAAAGCCCUGUUUUUAGUGGAGAACAUCUGUGUAAUUAACUGUGCCCUUAUUGACGGUACCUAAUCAGAAAGCCACGGCUAACUACGUG
rnacentral:rRNA from 1 species